CGUCAGGGCCUAGUGCCCAGCGUGCGGGGACGCCAAGGGCCUGCAGCCCGCCCUGGAAGGGGGGUGGUGGUGCGGCUGCGGACUCUCGAUGUUGGCGGACAGGCCUGGGCUGGCGCUGCGCGGAGGAGGCCUGCAGUCAUGAGCGCGUUUGCACCAGCUCACCACGAAUCGUGUCGGCUACUCAGCACAUAAAUUCACGAUACGCGAGGCGACACACUGAGACAACAGCUCCUUGGCGGCAGUCGUCCCACACCAGAAGGACGCGGCUGCCCAGCUUACAAGACGACAGGAGACGGUGCUCGUGCAGUCCCGCACGGGCACCCGGCUGGUGCUUCGGAUUCCUGCAACGGCGGGUGACCCGCAGUGACAACACGGAGCGCAGAUGGUGUGCUGCCCACGUCUCCGCUAGCAUUGUGGUACCCCGCACCCGCCAGAGCCUCCGCCCGCCCUGCUUUGCCUACCGAGGGCGUCCGUCCCGGCGCUGUGCCCGAUAUGCCACGCGAGAUUCGCGGAUCGCUCGCGCUGCACGGGCUUCCGCCGUCGGGCGCCUGCGGUUGCCCUCCGGUGCCCCUUCGGAGCGGCAGGCUACGUGGUCUCCUCGCGAGCAGGCGCAUGCCUAUCCGCGGGCCCCUUCCGCUCGACGCACCCGCUGCCACAGGACUCAUGGCCGCGGCCCCGCCUGCGUCAAGGCGUGCGGUGCAGCCAUGUCCGUGUAGGCACGCCUACCGCGCAGCACGUACCCAAAGAAUAAGCAAUGACGUGCAGGGAGCGCCCGGUAGACGCGUGGCUGCGGUUCAACGGCGCACGGCGCGCCCCCUAGAGAACCAGGACGUCGCCGCUAAUGCGGCACAGGCAGGCGAGCUGUGGUUGUGUAGGCGUCCCUGCUUUGACGCGGUC
rnacentral:misc_RNA from 1 species